ensembl:lincRNA
UAUUUUCACUGCCCAGGAGGUUGGUACAGCUAUGUUGUAGCUUUUGUAAAGAUAAUGUGGCAGUAGGUUUACAACAAUCUUUCCUGCUUGGCUGGAGAACUGAUUCUCUAACUUCUGUCAUGAACCCAUCUGAGAAGAUCCCCUCAGCUGAGAGAUCACCGCCAGGGCUAUCAGGGACUGACAGAUGGAGUACUUUACAAUGUCUAUGAAAAAUUUUCCAUCUGGAUUAGAUCAGCCUCAAAUGGAAGUCAAAGAGAGAGAACACAGGCCCAAAGCACCUUGGCAGUUCUGAAUGCUUCACCAAGAACCAUGAGGCUGAAACCACCUGGAAGUUUGGAUUUGAGUCAUCACAAGGCUUCAGGGAUGAAUCUUCACUGGAUGAUUCCAGCUAGCGAUUUCUUCCUCUGUUUUCCAUUUAAGGGAAGGCAUGAUGGAAUCAUUUAG